rnacentral:rRNA from 1 species
CCUACGGGUGGCUGCAGUGAGGAAUAUUGGUCAAUGGGAGAGAUCCUGAACCAGCCAAGCCGCGUGAGGGAAGACGGCCCUAUGGGUUGUAAAACUCUUUUGUCGGAGAACAAAACCCGGGACGUGUCCCGGACUGCGUGUAUCCGAAGCAAAAGCAUCGGCUAACUCCGUGCCAGCAGCCGCGGUAAUACGGAGGAUGUGCGCGUUCUCCGGAUUUAUUGGGUUUAAGGGGUGCGUAGGCGGUCCGGUAAGUAAGCGUUAAAAUUGCGGGGGUCAAACCCGGCGAGCCGUUGAUACUGGCAGAGUUGAGUUGGCGAGAAGUACGCGGAAUGCGCGGUGUAGCGGUGAAAUGCAUAGAUAUCGCGCAGAACUCCGAUUGCGAAGGCAGCGUGUCGGCGCCAGACUGACGCUGAGGCACGAAAGCGUGGGGAUCGAACAGGAUUAGAUACCCCUGUAGUC